rnacentral:rRNA from 1 species
GUACACGCUGUGACUAGCAUAUCAAUAAGCGGAGGAAAAGAAACUAACAAGGAUUCCCCUAGUAACGGCGAGUGAAGCGGGAAGAGCUCAAAUUUGAAAUCUUAAAGGGUUUCCCUUUACGAAUUGUAGUUUAAAGAAGUGUUUUCUGUUGAGGUUUUGGUAAAAGUUCUUUGGAAUAGGACAUCAUAGAGGGUGAGAAUCCCGUAUUUGACCUUUACUUUCAACUUUGUGAUACACUUUCAAAGAGUCGGAUUGUUUGGGAAUGCAGUCCAAAAUGGGUGGUAAAUUUCAUCUAAAGCUAAAUAUUGGCGAGAGACCGAUAGCGAACAAGUACCGUGAGUGAAAGAUGAAAAGAACUUUGAAAAGAGAGUUAAACAGUACGUGAAAUUAUCAAAAGGGAGGCGUUUGACACCAGUGUUGUUUUUCUGAAAAUCAAUUAAAGAACUGUUUAUGCUAAGCUGUUUAGACUUUAUCAGCUAACUGUUUAGUUUUGAGCUUUUCUUUAAUGCACUUUUCAGUUAACAAGUCAACAUCAAUUUCUUUUGCUGUAAAAAAGCUUGAGGAAGGUGGCUUGAGAUUCGUCUUAAGUGUUUAUAGCCUCUUGCCUAUGCAGUCGGAGAGAUUGAGGUCUGCAGCGUAGAUCCUUCGGGGCUAAAUGCAUUUGUGCUAAGUUAUAGCAUUUUAUAGACAACUUGUUGACUAUGAUUUGUCUUGUAGCUUACUCGCUUAUGUUAUUUUACCUACGCUUAGGAUGUUGAGUCGUAGAGCACGCA